rfam:Macrostomum lignano uti_cns_0014017, whole genome shotgun sequence.
GCAUUGAAAUUUUUUAUGGGGAUCAAUACAAAAACAUUAUAACCAAGAUUAAACAAGUGCUUAGUGAAUGGCGACACCUUCAAAUUGCGGGAACUCCUUCAAAAGCCUCAAGCAUCACUUCAGUUGAGAAAUCUUCUGAAGGAACACAUGUAAUUCCUGUUCCCAAUGGUAACAAGCUUGAGGACAUGGUGGAAAUCCGCAGCCAAGCUCCUAAGUCCGAACUUUGUUCGAGUAGCUAUGGUACGUCCGAAAAACGUAGUUGACAAGGAUAUGGAGAAGGUUCAGAGACUUUAUGGAGGUGGGGCUGAAGGAUCUGGUCAAUCCUGAUGAAGCCUUCAAGAUAAAGUCCAGCCUCUUUCGAAAGAUUGAG